GACGAACGCUGGCGGCGUGCUUAACACAUGCAAGUCGAACGGAAAGGCCCUGCUUUUGUGGGGUGCUCGAGUGGCGAACGGGUGAUUAACACGUAAGUAACCUGCCCUUGACUUUGGGAUAACUUAAGGAAACUUAGUAUAAUACCAGAUAGACGCUCCUACUGCAGGGUGGGGGUUGGAAAGUGUCGGCGGUUGGGGAUGUGCUCGCGGAUUAUCAGCUUGUUGGUGGGGUAGUGGCUUACCAAGACUUGGACGGGUAGCCGGCCUGAGAGGGUGAACGGGCACAAUGCGACUGAGAGACGGACCAGACGGCAACGGGAGGCAGUAGGGGGGAAUAUGGCACAAUGGGCGGAAGCGUGAUGUAGCAACGUUGGGUGCGGGAUGAGGGUUUGUGGGGUGUAAAACGCUUUCGCUUGUUACGAAGCGUGAGUGACGGUAAUGGGUAAAGAAGCACCGGCUAACUACGUG
rnacentral:rRNA from 1 species